rnacentral:rRNA from 1 species
GACGUAGGGGGCCAGCGUUGUUCGGAAUUACUGGGUGUAAAGGGUUCGUAGGCGGUGUGGCAAGUCGGGAGUGAAAUCUCUGGGCUCAACCCAGAGUCUGCUUCCGAAACUGCUGUGCUUGAGUGUGGGAGAGGCGCGUGGAAUUGCAGGUGUAGCGGUGAAAUGCGUAGAGAUCUGGAGGAAUACCGAUGGCGAAGGCAGCCAUCUGGCCUAACACUGACGCUGAGGUGCGAAAGCAUGGGGAGCAAACAGG